CGACUCUUGCCCGGAGUUUGCGUGCUGGGCCCAGAUUCCACUCCUGUGAAGCAAGAUCUUCUGGAGAAAAUCUUACCACACACAAAUAUUUGCCACUUGAAAUGUAAGACCUCCAACCUCAACCGGAUCAUCAACUCUUCUUCCAUUCCAAUAGCAGCAGUUUUAAACUUCCAUCAUCUUUAUUAAACAAACCUGCAAUGCGAAACCUUCACUCUCAACAGAUAGCUUUUCCUUUUACUUCAAAACCAUCCUGAGGAAUAAAGCAAUUUUUACCCCGACAAUUUUUGUCAAUAUUUUCCAAGUACUUUAUUGUAGGAAAUUUAAAAUAUACAAAACUGGAGGAUGAUAUGACAAA
rnacentral:lncRNA from 1 species